rnacentral:rRNA from 1 species
CAGCAGCCGCGGGAAUACGAAGGGUGCAAGCGUUACUCGGAAUUACUGGGCGUAAAGCGUGUGUAGGUGGUUGUUUAAGUCUGUCGUGAAAGCCCUGGGCUCAACCUGGGAAUUGCGAUGGAUACUGGGCGACUAGAGUGCGGUAGAGGAUAGUGGAAUUUCCGGUGUAGCAGUGAAAUGCGUAGAGAUCGGAAGGAACAUCUGUGGCGAAGGCGACUAUCUGGGCCAACACUGACACUGAGACACGAAAGCGUGGGGAGCAAACAGGAUUAGAUACCCCUGUAGUCCCUGUCUCUUAUAC